UACGGAGGAUCCAAGCGUUAUCCGGAAUCAUUGGGUUUAAAGGGCUCGUAGGCGGCCAACUAAGUCAGACGUGAAAUCCCUCGGCUUAACCGGGGAACUGCGUCUGAUACUGGAUGGCUUGAGUUUGGGAGAGGGAUGCGGAAUUCCAGGUGUAGCGGUGAAAUGCGUAGAUAUCUGGAGGAACACCGGUGGCGAAGGCGGCAUCCUGGACCAACACUGACGCUGAGUGAGCGAAAGCCAGGGGAGCAAACGGG
rnacentral:rRNA from 1 species